rnacentral:rRNA from 1 species
GGUGCUUGCAUCAUGAUUUACAUUUGAGUGAGUGGCGAACUGGUGAGUAACACGUGGGAAACCUGCCCAGAAGCGGGGGAUAACACCUGGAAACAGAUGCUAAUACCGCAUAACAACUUGGACCGCAUGGUCCGAGUUUGAAAGAUGGCUUCGGCUAUCACUUUUGGAUGGUCCCGCGGCGUAUUAGCUAGAUGGUGAGGUAACGGCUCACCAUGGCAAUGAUACGUAGCCGACCUGAGAGGGUAAUCGGCCACAUUGGGACUGAGACACGGCCCAAACUCCUACGGGAGGCAGCAGUAGGGAAUCUUCCACAAUGGACGAAAGUCUGAUGGAGCAACGCCGCGUGAGUGAAGAAGGGUUUCGGCUCGUAAAACUCUGUUGUUAAAGAAGAACAUAUCUGAGAGUAACUGUUCAGGUAUUGACGGUAUUUAACCAGAAAGCCACGGCUAACUACGUGCCAGCAGCCGCGGUAAUACGUAGGUGGCAAGCGUUGUCCGGAUUUAUUGGGCGUAAAGCGAGCGCAGGCGGUUUUUUAAGUCUGAUGUGAAAGCCUUCGGCUCAACCGAAGAAGUGCAUCGGAAACUGGGAAACUUGAGUGCAGAAGAGGACAGUGGAACUCCAUGUGUAGCGGUGAAAUGCGUAGAUAUAUGGAAGAACACCAGUGGCGAAGGCGGCUGUCUGGUCUGUAACUGACGCUCAGGCUCGCAAGUAUGGGUAGCAAACAUGAUUAGAUACCCUGCUAGUCCAUACCGUAAACGAUGAAUGCUAAGUGUUUGUGGGGGUUCCGCCCCUUCCCCC